GAUGAACGCUGGCGGCGUGCCUAAUACAUGCAAGUCGAGCGAACGGACGAGAAGCUUGCUUCUCUGAUGUUAGCGGCGGACGGGUGAGUAACACGUGGAUAACCUACCUAUAAGACUGGGAUAACUUCGGGAAACCGGAGCUAAUACCGGAUAAUAUUUUGAACCGCAUGGUUCAAAAGUGAAAGACGGUCUUGCUGUCACUUAUAGAUGGAUCCGCGCUGCAUUAGCUAGUUGGUAAGGUAACGGCUUACCAAGGCAACGAUGCAUAGCCGACCUGAGAGGGGGAUCGGCCACACUGGAACUGAGACACGGUCCAGACUCCUACGGGAGGCAGCAGUAGGGAAUCUUCCGCAAUGGGCGAAAGCCUGACGGAGCAACGCCGCGUGAGUGGUGAAGGUCUUCGGAUCGUAAAACUCUGUUAUUAGGGAAGAACAUAUGUGUAAGUAACUGUGCACAUCUUGACGGUACCUAAUCAGAAAGCCACGGCUAACUACGUG
rnacentral:rRNA from 1 species